rnacentral:rRNA from 1 species
CUACGAAAGGAAUUGGACGGGACCCGCACAAGCGGUGGAUGAUGUGGAUUAAUUCGAUGCAACGACGAAAAACCUUACCUACCCUUGACAUGUCUGGAAUGCCGAAGAGAUUGGUAGUGCUCGCAAGAGAACCGGAACACAGGUGCUGCAUGGCUGUCGUCAGCUCGUGUCGUGAGAUGUUGGGUUAAGUCCCGCAACGAGCGCAACCCUUGUCAUUAGUUGCUACGAAAGGGCACUCUAAUGAGACUGCCGGUGACAAACCGGAGGAAGGUGGGGAUGACGUCAAGUCCUCAUGGCCCUUAUGGGUAGGGCUUCACACGUCAUACAAUGGUCGGGACAGAGGGUCGCCAACCCGCGAGGGGGAGCCAAUCCCAGAAACCCGAUCGUAGUCCGGAUCGCAGUCUGCAACUCGACUGCGUGAAGUCGGAAUCGCUAGUAAUCGCGGAUCAGCAUGUCGCGGUGAAUACGUUCCCGGGUCUU